rnacentral:rRNA from 1 species
GUCAGCGAUAGGUCCUAGUAAAUAUGAUAGACCAGCUGUGUGUGUUGGGCCCGGUUAGUACUUGCAUGGCUGACCGGCUGGGAAUAUCUGGUGUUGCUGACA